AGCUUUGCGCAGUGGCCGUAUCGUAGCCAAUGAGGUUUAUCCGAGGCGCGAUUAUUGCUAAUUGAAUAACCUUGCAAAGCCUUGGGUUUCUAGGCUAUAAUAGGGAUAAUCACAGUCCCUGCCUCAUGUGAAUAU